GAAACGAGUCCGUGAACCGGUCCUGGCGCGCGCCCGAGUCCCGGAGGCUUUGCCAGGGGGCUCCCCAGAGACAGUUGGAAGUCAGGGCUGCGGGGUGGAGGGGCAGCCUGGUGGCAUUAUCCUGCAGUCGUGAUAUAAACGGUCAGGCCCUAUGCUAGAGGUCGGGGAUGCAGCCAGCCUGCAAUACUUGCGAUGAGGCACCCGAAGGGUAGAGAAACCGAAGAAAUGUAUCUGGGGUCGCACACAAAAAUUCGAGCCUAGUUCUCUGUGAUUCCAGAACUACCUUGACCACCACGUCAUGUUAAUCUAAAAGACCAGAGAGAAGAGAAUAAUACAGAGAGGAAAAAGAAAGGAAUUUUGUGAGCCAGUUGUAAAGAAUGCACAGGUUAAGAGAAUGCAUGAGGAGAAUAUCUGUGCAAAUAUGCUACCAAGCCAGUGAGUAAGAUAGAGUUCCUGUUUUGAGGGAUGGAAGGCAGUAAAUCAAGCAACCCCCAGGCCACCCAAACCCUUCUACCACCUAUACCAGCCCUGUGCAAAACGAAAACUUGUUGCCCCUUGUUCAAAGAUUAAGAAUAUCAAGAUGGCAACAGCAAAGCAUUAAACCGAACAUGGGAACGUUCCUAAGUGUGGGAUCUUGUUGUAAGUCCAUGAAGCCACCACCCCAUACCUACAUUCUGGUUUCUUCUACAACAGUAUCUCCACUGUAGAUCCAUCUCCUGGGCCCACAUGUAUUUAUCCAGUUGUCUCUUAGUGAUGUGGUAUUGGAGAGGGGAAGCCCCUGAUUCAUAGCUUUUGCCGAUUUUUUGUAGUUUAAAUUCUGCAUAUGUGGCUGAAUUCCAGCUACCAAUCUGAUGUCAUUAAAGGCAAGAGAUGUGCACUUGCAUGCCCUUAUCUGGCGUUUCCGCUUACUGUUACUAUAGACAUGGAACUUCAUACAUAACAGUAAAAUAUACAUAAUAUUGA